UAAACUAAAAUAGUUUAAUUUUUUAAAACGUUGAUUUGUGGUAUCAAAAAUUUUUUUAA
rnacentral:tRNA from 1 species